AUGGAAAGAUGAAUGGACUUAAAUAUAAGCUUUUGAGUUUAGGAUCUCAUAACGUUAACAAUCUGAAAAUCAGAAAAUGAAGUUUGACUUCUAAUUUUUUUUUUUUUUUACACUGACAUAUAAAAAUACAACAUUAUAGCAGAGGUAAAACUCAAGGACAUCUCUCGGAUUUUGGAGAAUGCAGCCAUGUUGGAGACAAGACUGACCAGAACAAAUCCAAUUAGCAUGUGGACACUGAGGAAAGAUUGUCAGACACAGAGCACUGCUGUCUGGUCACACAGGCAACUGCUGGCACUAGGGGAUUAAAAGUUUUAUGCCAAAUAAAAAACAAUCUGUUCAGAAACUAGGCAUAGCAGAAGCAAGCUCAGAGUGCACAAUGCUGCCCAAGAGAAGGAUAUUUGUUGCUUUGCAGAAGUAAGCUUUCCCAUGCCUUUUCUGUGUUCCCUGUCCCCAUUGCUCAGUCAGCCAAUGCACUCCUAAGUAAUCAUAGAAUCAAUCACAAAAUCAUCUAGGUUAGAAAGACCAUUAAAAUCACAGAGUCCAGCCGUGUACCUAUGCCUGUGACCGCUCUAGAUCAAGUCGCUCAGCAUGAUAUCUACCCUUUUCUUGAACACCUCCAGAGAUGGUGACUCCAAGCAAGCUGCUGUGCUGCACAUCACAUACCAAUCCAUAAAGGGUCAGUCAAUGAGGCAAGAAUUUCUUGGCAGUUGGCAGCCUUCUGGCCUGCCUUUUUCCUUGGGCCAAGAAUAGGCUCUCCAUUCCUCAGAAGAAACAACCAGAGAAAAAAAAUGGAGAUGCCUUAGUUUUCCACUGGAAGGAAACUAUACAUAAGCCUAUUUCUUGUGUUACAGCUACAGAAGGAGGUGAGACCUCAAUCCUCUAGUGUAGGUUACUGAAGUUCAGGGCAUGUAGUGUUAGAUACUAUAUUGCCAUAUCUACAGCCAAGUUGUAAAAGCUGUAAAAGAAGAGAUGGGAAUUUUUAAAAUGUGGUUCACUUGACCUUGAAAACAGGUCAACACAUUCACUUUAUCACCAACUACCCUGUCCUAUAGUCGAAGUUCCCACUUUUCUCCGUUGUCUCUGAAAGCAGCUGAGUAUAAGUUCAAAGAUUUAGAGAUGUACACAUGGUCAUGUUGCUUCUUUUCCUUUUCAGCCAAACACACGGCCAACCAGGCCACCCCUCUCCUGGAUUCCUACUUCACCAUGCCUUAUCUUUUUCGGCCAUGACUGUACUUAGCUUAUGAAAAACAGUUAUCUUAAUCCUCCUAAUGUUGCUAUUUCACCUUUGUGAUAGUUGCACUGGUUCUGCUCUUAGGACUCUGAUUAAUUUCCUUUCCCAAGUGAGAUGUCUGUAUGUCAGAGCACGUUUGGUCCUUUUCACUCAGGAAUUUUGUUGGGAAACACAGAAUUUCUUUCUUCUGUCAAUUUGUAGUAGCUAUUAUUAUGGAUUUGCUUUUUUUUUUUUCACAACACAUGCUGAUGAGACCUUUGAGGUGGGCUUUGUGGUCAGUAUUAGUCAAUCUACUUAAAAGAAGAAAAGUGGUAGAGAAAAUGAGCUUUAUAGAGGAUAUGGAACAUUUCAACAGUCUACAGUGUGACAGAGAAUGCACAAAAUACAGCAGAGCUUAUGUGCUGGGCCAAAGUAACUAGUGAAUCCGAGAUAAUAACAGCAAUAUUUCUUGUUAUCAGUGAUAUUCAGAAAAAAUAUUAGAAAGGUUCUGAUUUUUUGUAUAGAUAGUUAUAUUUCAGUGAACACUUGUAACACCUUGGAGAAAAGGUAUAUGCUUUUUCAGAGAAAAAUGAGCCAUUUGAUUAUUUUUCUUUCAAGACGUAUACCAGUAGAAGUAUCCAGAAAAAAAUGAAAUAAAAUAAAAUAAACUUAUGUUACUGAAGAAGAAUGUUACUAAAACAAGGAAAAGACUAAAAGCAACUUUUGCUCACAAAGUUUCCAGUGAUUUUUUUUACUGCCAGUAUUAUUUAUAUGUCUAAAAUGCUCGCAAAUGUAAAACUCAGCGCUAGAAGUUCUGACCUGUUAAUCUUGCAGACACUAAGACAGCUCUGUAACAGUUAAUCUCCACAUAAAAUUCAAGUCUGAUUUAUUUCCUCUCCAACUUCACCUUUUCCUGAUUUCAUAAAAUAUUUUGUACGUAUGGCAUUAGUGUCAGAUCAGUACAGUACUGCGCUUAGCACAAAACACAGAGUUAAUGACCGCCAUCCAUAUUUAUUAGGAGGGGCAAGAACUUCCAGUGAUUUUCUAGACAACAAGAAGCUAUCUUACAUCACUCAUCAGUGCAUAAGUGAAGCCAAAGUUAAGCAUGAUCACAUAGGCUAUGCAAGUUCUCUCUAUAAACAAGAAAAGCUUUAUGGGUAGUUAUAUUUUCUCUUAUGGUAUGCUAUGUUAGGAAAAGAAAUCUUUCAGGCACAGAAGUACUUUUUAAGAUCUUGUGAGGUUUUUCCCCCCAAAUAAGUCUAUCCUACUAAUAAAAUCUGCUUCUCCCUUCUAAUCUUUCCUCUCUGAUAUCCUUUAAACAUCCUAGCUAUAACAACGUUACAAUUUUCUAUGUAUCUUCUGGCUCCCCCUUCUCUAUCAAAUGAAAUACGAGCUGCAUGUCUCGCAAAAACUGGUUGUAAAGCUACCCCUGCAUCCACAUUCAAAUCCCCUCUGAACCAACCAUGAGGGACUGCUAAAAACAUAAGCUGCUGAUGUGCUGUGACAGCUGGUCUGCCUCUCCCUGUACUUCUGCUGCUGGUUACAAAAGGCCUGCAGAAACCGGUUUUUCAUUAUUCGUUUUACUGGUUUCGCAUCUAAUCCAACAGGCCUCUGGUUCAUGACCCAGGUUCCUAAGCAAUACCAUUAAACAAAUAAUACUAAUAAAGGUAGCCUGUAUGGUGCCUGGGCAAUCUCUGCACGGACUGCAUCUUGUGUUAUUUGGAUUUUUAUUUUUCUAAGGACAAAAUUUUUCAGUUUGAAAUGAAGUCUUCCCUCUGCAUCACAAAACUGGAUUUUUUGCAGAAGAAGGUGUUUGUGUAAUCACAAAUGACAAUGACAUGAAAAUGCAGUUAAUUUAUAUUUUGGGCACAUAAUUAACCUCACUUGUAGCACACUUCUUUCUUCUUCAGACUGCACAUAGACAUCAGCAAACAAAACUUAUUGUCUCUCCACUUACAGCAGAAAAGUAUAUGCACCGUUCUGGAGAUUUCCCCCAACAACGGAACCGUUUACUUCAGACUUCACCUAAUGCCCACCAGUGUCAAUCAGAAUUCUCUAUCAGCUUUAACACACAUGAAAUUCUCUGACAAUUUUAAUGGAAUUAUUGGGGAAGAGAUUUUCAGGCUUAGAAAGACUCCUUAGUAAAGAGAGCUGGGAAAAGCUAAUGUUUUGGCACUGUGUUGAAUCUGCCUCAAAGAUGGAUGCAAGCCUACGUUCGUUAAUUUUAUGUACUGAAGCUCUGGCUUACAAGCCUGCCUUUGAACCCAGGAACCUUGCAAAGCUGGGCUGCACAGUUAAGGGGCUGAGCUCUUUACCGACCUCCCUAGCUCCUUCAAAUAUCUCCCAAAGCCAUAAUACUACUCCUUCUGUGCCAAGAUUACAUGUUCCCAUACUAGGGAAGGGGCGAACAAAGUCCAAAAGAAAAGGGAAAGCUGGUCUCCUGUCAGAGCCUCGGCUUAUCUCAGCAGCCCCCUAUUUUUAACUCGAUUGCAAACGAUAUCUGUGAUCAAAGGGCCAGAACCCCUGGAGGAGCUUAGGCGAACAGCGUGGUGGCCACAAUUCUUCCUGAUGAUUUGUAAGCAGGAAAGGACUUUUGACAUGAAAGACAGCUUAAACAGCACAAGAAUAGCAAUAAACCAGCUGUAAAAUGCUUAACAUUGCCCUUGAACUAAUGCAAAUUGUUCCAAACAAUUUUAUUUUCUUUUUCUUUCUUCUCUUUUUUCUUUUUUUGUUUUUCUUUUUUUUUUUUUUUUUCCCUCUUUGCAGUCCCUUGGUGCCCUGCUGGGACAUUUAAACAGUCACAUGCUCACCAUACAAAAGCCUAUAUAAGUGGGGAAAUACAGUGUACUAAUGUGUUUAGAAUAAGGCAACCAAACAAGGGCUACAAUUCAGAUCUGCUGCCUUCCUUUCUUUUGUUCAAGGAAGUGUUCAUUAAUGACUAGCUUGUUUUGGAUACUGACUGAGCUUCCAGACAGAAAUGUUGAAGGGUAAUUUGUUAGCUUAAAAUAUUCCAUUAAGCAAUUGAGGAGAUAGUUAGCAAAGUAAGCAAAAACAGAAUGUCCUUAAAGUAAAUUAGUAUGGUCACUGAAUAUUCUAGGUGCUUAGAAAGCAGGAAUAUUUACACUCAGAACUUCAGCAACAGUAAAGAAAGGUAGUAAUAUAUGUUUAUAGAAAUCACAUCUCAAGGGAGUGCUCUCUACUAUAAUAGCUCCCUAUGGAAACUGCACUGCAAGAGUCUUACAGAAUCCUUUAAAUUCACCUUUAAAAGCAUUUCUUUUUUCUCCUACUGUAGAUGUUUUGUUUCAAGUAAUAACACAUAUCCUUAUCACUAGCAAUUAGUUACAAUCCUUUUAAAAACAUCCAAUAUGGAAUAAAAUAUUUAUCUUGGUACAGUUAGAAACAGGAAGGACCAAUGAGAUCAUUGCUUCAAUUUCCCAAAUCUGUUGAGUACUGUGAAGGCAGAUAUAUCAGCUUUUACAAAAACAUCAGUAAUUAGAAGUUGUUUGGUGUGCAUGUACGUAUUUAAUAAAUUAAAAUUCUCUGGUACGCCUGUUCUCUUGUAUUUCUUUCUGACAAAGCUUGUUGCCUUAGAAUACCUUUAUCUUUCCUCAAAAUCAUUUUCAUUCCUCAUCAUUGUUACUCAUGCCACUGUGUCAAAUAUUCGUAUUAAGAAAUGAAAAAACAUAAUGAAAGAAAUGGUAUUUCAAAGAGCACUUAAGUACAGACUUAACUCAGAUGGACGAAAGCAGAGUUUAACCAGACAUUUGAACUCAAACAAUGUUAAUCUUCAAUUUCUCUACUUUUUUAUAAAUUCAGUUCACUUCAGAACAGCAUGGUAACACUACCAUUCAAAUUCAGUAGAUGAGGAGUAUAAAGAGAGCUGUGCAUCCAUGGUCAUAAAUACAAGAGGUUUGUGACCUGCCUAGGACACAACCUUGGGAAUUCACAUCCCAGUGUAUCAAAACAUAUUUCUUGUGAUUUCAUCUCCUCAGAUUUCUCUUAUGAUGGUAGGACAUGCACUUUUACUCAUUCUGUGCUGAGGAUAAGACCGCUUUAUGUCUUAUUUAUGACAGUGCUGUAACCACUCCUUGUCUUAUGCUAAGCACUUGGAUCUUAGAGUUGUUUUAACUAGCAUUCUUUGAGCUCCCAAAUGCAACCACAAAGUAAAGCAUUUAAAAUGUUUCUGACUCUCAAAUAUGAUGUCAAAGAAAUAUAGUUGAUUGACAUUUUAAAUUAAGACUUGGAGUCGAUUUGCUUUAAUUGUAAUCAUCUUCCACUCAGUAAAAUUAUUCUAUUGUUCAAUUUAAUGUAAAAUUUCAGCGACUUAAAAAAAAAAACUUCA